CAAUAAUUGUUUUAAGAUACUUCUUUUUACCAAAGAUGUUUACAGAGCAAAAGGGAGCUGCAAGCUUCAAACUACUGCUGACUUCUAAUUAGGUUUGGCUGCAGAAGGCAUUGGUAUUUAUGGGGCGUCUGAGACCUUAUCUCAGACAGUUCAUGGUCUCCAACCUGGAUCCGGCUGUCUCCACAGCAGAUGCAGCAAUUGAUUCAAGGUCCUUCAGAGGUUCCAGCAAAUGUAGGACAGAGCUCUCCCUCGGUUCUAGUCCUAUUUCUGGGUGUCCCUUCGAAGUCUCUGGACCUCUUUCCACCAAGAGUCCUCGGACCAACUGUGCAGCAGCUUCACUGGUCCAAUACCUACUGUGUGAAGUGUCCGUGAGGAUCCAAGCCCUUCCUCAUGAUGCUCCCUUGGUGGAGUUACCACCUCCCUGGCUGAGAUUUGGAGCUCUGAUCACAACUGCCCCAAUUUUGCAUUCUUGCAGCCUGAGAGAGAGCAGCUGCUUGCUGUGUUAAUAACGUUGGUAUUAUUUCACCGUCCCCAUUGCUCUCCCUGCCUUUCUUGCAUUUUAAUGAACACCC
rnacentral:lncRNA from 1 species